GCAUUUAUUUAAUUUAAUUUUUAUUUUAUUUUAUCAUAUUUUACAUUGAGACUAAGAUUUGAAUGGUUUGCAUUUUCAGGAUCACUUUCUUAACUUUUACAGGAUGCAGGAUUUCUAUGACAUGCAUGUGGCCUAUAGAGAUAAUGCUCAGAGGGAGCGCUACAUUGCUCUGUAUCAGCGUCCUAUGGCACCCACACGUUAUCCUGAUCAGCAUUGUAUGGAGGCACUGGGUAUCGAG
rnacentral:lncRNA from 1 species